CAAAAGCAAUUGUGGUUUUUGUCAUUGAAAGUGAUGGCAAAAACUGCAAUUACUUUUGCGCCAACCUAAU
rnacentral:miRNA from 1 species